CCUUCCGUAGGUGAACCUGCGGAAGGAUCAUUACUCAUUUUCAAAGCACUGCCGCCUCGAUCAGUGGCGGCAGUCUACUUUGAUUCUACCCAUGUUUUUUGCGUACUAUUUGUUUCCUUGGUGGGCUUGCCCACCAAUUGGAUCCCCUAAAACCACUUGCAAUUGCAGUCAGCGUCAGUAACAAUGUAAUAAAUUACAACUUUCAACAACGGAUCUCUUGGUUCUGGCAUCGAUGAAGAACGCAGCGAAAUGCGAUAAGUAGUGUGAAUUGCAGAAUUCAGUGAAUCAUCGAAUCUUUGAACGCAAUUGCGCCCCUUGGUAUUCCAUGGGGCAUGCCUGUUCGAGCGUCAUUUGUACCCUCAAGCUCUGCUUGGUGUUGGGUGUUUGUUCCACUUGGGACUCGCCUUGAAACAAUUGGCAGCCGGCACAUUGGCCUGGAGCGCAGCACAUUUUGCGCCUCUUGUCAUGGUUGUUGGCAUCCAUCAAGACACUUUUUAAGCUCUUGACCUCGGAUCAGGUAGGGAUACCCGCUGAACUUAAGCAUAUCAAUAAGGCGGGAGGA
rnacentral:rRNA from 1 species